GAUGAACGCUGGCGGCGUGCCUAAUACAUGCAAGUCGAGCGAGAAGCUCGCCAAUGAGACUUCGGUGGAUUUGGCGGGUGGAAAGCGGCGGACGGGUGAGUAACGCGUAGGCAACCUGCCCUUUGCACAGGGAUAGCCACUGGAAACGGUGAUUAAUACCUGAUAAUGCGAACCUAUCGCCUGAUAGGAUCGCCAAAGAUUUAUUGGCAAAGGAUGGGCCUGCGUCUGAUUAGCUUGUUGGUGGGGUAACGGCUCACCAAGGCGACGAUCAGUAGCCGACCUGAGAGGGUGAUCGGCCACAUUGGAACUGAGACACGGUCCAAACUCC
rnacentral:rRNA from 1 species